rnacentral:rRNA from 1 species
AAUAGAUACCCAGGUAGUCCACGCCGUAAACGAUGAGUGCUAAGUGUUAGAGGGUUUCCGCCCUUUAGUGCUGCAGCUAACGCAUUAAGCACUCCGCCUGGGGAGUACGGCCGCAAGGCUGAAACUCAAAGGAAUUGACGGGGGGCCCGCACAAGCGGUGGAGCAUGUGGUUUAAUUCGAAGCAACGCGAAGAACCUUACCAGGUCUUGACAUCCUCUGCCACUCCUAGAGAUAGGACGUUCCCCUUCGGGGGACAGAGUGACAGGUGGUGCAUGGUUGUCGUCAGCUCGUGUCGUGAGAUGUUGGGUUAAGUCCCGCAACGAGCGCAACCCUUGUUCUUAGUUGCCAGCAUUCAGUUGGGCACUCUAAGGAGACUGCCGGUGACAAACCGGAGGAAGGUGGGGAUGACGUCAAAUCAUCAUGCCCCUUAUGACCUGGGCUACACACGUGCUACAAUGGAUGGUACAAAGGGCUGCGAGACCGCGAGGUUAAGCCAAUCCCAUAAAACCAUUCUCAGUUCGGA